UAUUAAAGUUGUUGCGGUUAAAAAGCUCGUAGUUGAAUCUGUGUCUCGCGCUGUCGGUUCGCCGCCCGCGGCGUUAAACUGGCACGCACGCGAGACAUCUUGCCGGUGGGAUGCGGCGCACUCGCCGGCUCGGACCACGCGCUCCGUGGAGACUCCGUGUCGUCCGCGGUAGCGCCGGAUCCCGGGUCCGAUCCGCUGUGCGCCCGUCCCGACCACGAAUCCCGUCGCGGUGCUCUUCGCCGAGUGUCGCUGCGGGCCGGCACGUUUACUUUGAACAAAUUAGAGUGCUCAAAGCAGGCCGAAAAUUCACCUGGAUACUGUGUGCAUGGAAUAAUGGAACAGGACCUCGGUUCUAUUUUGUUGGUUUUCGGAAGCCCCGAGGUAAUGAUCGAUAGGGACAGAUGGGGGCAUUCGUAUUGCGACGUUAGAGGUGAAAUUCUUGGAUGUCGCAAGACGGACGGAAGCGAAAGCAUUUGCCAAAAAUGUUUUCAUUAAUCAAGAACGAAAGUCAGAGGUUCGAAGGCGAUCAGAUACCGCCCUAGUUCUGACCAUAAACGAUGCCAGCUAGCGAUCCGCCGACGUUCCUCCGAUGACUCGGCGGGCAGCAUCCGGGAAACCAAAGCUUUUGGGUUCCGGGGGAAGUAUGGUUGCAAAGCUGAAACUUAAAGGAAUUGACGGAAGGGCACCACCAGGAGUGGAGCCUGCGGCUUAAUUUGACUCAACACUGGAAACCUCACCAGGCCCGGACACCGGAAGGAUUGACAGAUUGAGAGCUCUUUCUUGAUUCGGUGGGUGGUGGUGCAUGGCCGUUCUUAGUUGGUGGAGCGAUUUGUCUGGUUAAUUCCGAUAACGAACGAGACUCUGGCCUGCUAACUAGGCGUUACUCACCGGCAUCCCGAGGGUUCGCGUGUCCCGUCAGCCGGCGCGCGUGUCGGGUGUCGUGUCGCGCCACGCCGGUCGCUUCGGUGACCGUGCGCGCGCGCGCGCGCCCCGUCCACGCCCGGUCGGGUGUUCGCGGCCGUCACUGCCGGCGUACAAAAAUUUCUUCUUAGAGGGACAGGCGGCUCCUAGCCGCACGAGAUCGAGCAAUAACAGGUCUGUGAUGCCCUUAGAUGUUCUGGGCCGCACGCGCGCUACACUGAAGGAAUCAGCGUGUCCUCCCUGGCCGAACGGUCCGGGUAACCCGCUGAACCUCCUUCGUGCUAGGGAUCGGGGCUUGCAAUUUUUCCCCAUGAACGAGGAAUUCCCAGUAAGCGCGGGUCAUAAGCUCGCGUUGAUUACGUCCCUGCCCUUUGUACACACCGCCCGUCGCUACUACCGAUUGAAUAAUUUAGUGAGGUCUUCGGACCGGCACGCGGCGACGUUUCGACUUCGCCGAUGUCGCUGGGAAGAUGACCAAACUUGAUCAUUU
rnacentral:rRNA from 1 species